rnacentral:tRNA from 1 species
GCGGGGAUGGCGGAAUCGGCAGACGCGCACGGUUCAGGGCCGUGUGGGAGCAAUCUCGUGGGAGUUCAACUCUCCCUCCCCGCA